rnacentral:rRNA from 1 species
UACCAGCUCUCCGAGUGGUGUGGAUGUUUAUUGGGCCUAAAGCAUCCGUAGCUGGCUGGACAAGUCCCCUGUUAAAUCCACCGAUUUAAUCGUUGGUGUGCGGGGGAUACUGUUCGGCUAGGGGACGGGAGAGGCAGACGGUAUUUUCGGGGUAGGGGUGAAAUCCUAUAAUCCCGGGAGGACCACCAGUGGCGAAGGCUGUUGACUAGAACGCGCCCGACGGUGAGGGAUGAAAGCUGGGGGAGCGAACCGGAUUAGAUACCCGGGUAGUCCCAGCUGUAAACGAUGCAGGCUAGGUGUUUGGGCGGCCACGUGCCGCUCUAGUGCCGCAGAGAAGUCGUUAAGCCUGCCGCCUGGGGAGUACGGCCGCAAGGCUGAAACUUAAAGGAGUUGGCGGGGGAGCACCACAAGGGGUGAAGCUUGCGGUUU